UACGUAGGGGGCAAGCGUUGUCCGGAAUCAUUGGGCGUAAAGAGCGCGUAGGCGGCCCUGUAAGUCCGCUGUGAAAGUCAAGGGCUCAACCCUUGGAUGCCGGUGGAUACUGCAGGGCUAGAGUCCGGAAGAGGCGAGUGGAAUUCCUGGUGUAGCGGUGAAAUGCGCAGAUAGUCAGGAGGAACACCGAUGGCGAAGGCAGCUCGCUGGGACGGUACUGACGCUGAGGCGCGAAAGCGUGGGGAGCAAACAGG
rnacentral:rRNA from 1 species